GAUGAAGAACGUAGCGAAAUGCGAUAAGUAGUGAGAAUUGCAGAAUUCAGUGAAUCAUCGAAUCUUUGAACGCACAUUGCGCCCUUUGGUAUUCCUUAGGGCAUGCCUGUUCGAGCGUCAUUUAAACCUUCAAGCUAAGCUUGGUGUUGGGUGACUGUCCGCUUCACGGCGGACUCGCCUCAAAAUUAUUGGCGGCCGGUACAUUGGCUUCGAGCGCAGCAGAAACGCGAACUCGGGCCCGUCGUAUUGGCUCCCAGAAGCUAUCUUCACAAUUUUGACCUCGGAUCAGGUAGGGAUACCCGCUGAACUUAAGCAUAUCAAUAAGCGGAGGA
rnacentral:misc_RNA from 1 species